rfam:Oryza barthii chromosome 6, whole genome shotgun sequence.
UGUUAAGGUGGGGGCACCAAUAUAUCACCAUGGUGCCAGCCAUCUCUGCGAGAAGGGGAUAGAUCGACGCGUCAAGAAAUCGUUUCUGUUGCCAUGGCUCCAGUAGGCAAUACGAUUGUUGCUUGCGCACAG